rnacentral:rRNA from 1 species
UACUCGCGAAUGCUCUAGAUUAGAGUUGAUCAUGGCUCAGNCNUGAACGCUGGCGGCAAGCCUAACACAUGCAAGUCGAACGGUAACAGGAAGCAGCUUGCUGCUUUGCUGACGAGUGGCGGACGGGUGAGUAAUGUCUGGGAAACUGCCUGAUGGAGGGGGAUAACUACUGGAAACGGUAGCUAAUACCGCAUAACGUCGCAAGACCAAAGAGGGGGACCUUCGGGCCUCUUGCCAUCGGAUGUGCCCAGAUGGGAUUAGCUAGUAGGUGGGGUAACGGCUCACCUAGGCGACGAUCCCUAGCUGGUCUGAGAGGAUGACCAGCCACACUGGAACUGAGACACGGUCCAGACUCCUACGGGAGGCAGCAGUGGGGAAUAUUGCACAAUGGGCGCAAGCCUGAUGCAGCCAUGCCGCGUGUAUGAAGAAGGCCUUCGGGUUGUAAAGUACUUUCAGCGGGGAGGACAGGUGUUCGAGGUUAAUAACCUCAGCAAUUGACGUUACCCCGCAGAAGAAGCACCGGCUAACUCCGUGCCAGCAACCGCGGGUAAUACGGAAGGGUGCAAGCGUUAAUCCGGGAACUUACAGGGGGCCGUUUAAAAGGACGCAACGCAAAGGCG